rnacentral:rRNA from 1 species
AUUGAACGCUGGCGGCAUGCUUUACACAUGCAAGUCGAACGGCAACACGGGGGCAACCCUGGUGGCGAGUGGCGAACGGGUGAGUAAUACAUAGGAACGUAUCCUGAAAUGGGGGAUAGCUCGGCGAAAGCCGGAUUAAUACCGCAUACGAUCUACGGAUGAAAGCAGGGGAUUCGCAAGAACCUUGCGUUUCUGGAGCGGCCUAUGUCUGAUUAGCUAGUUGGCGGGGUAAAAGCCCACCAAGGCGACGAUCAGUAGCUGGUCUGAGAGGAUGAUCAGCCACACUGGGACUGAGACACGGCCCAGACUCCUACGGGAGGCAGCAGUGGGAAUUUUGGACAAUGGGGCAACCCUGAUCCAGCCAUGCCGCGUGAGUGAAGGAGGCCUCGGUU